GACAGAGGGUGCAAACGUUGUUCGGAAUUACUGGGCGUAAAGCGCGUGUAGGCUGCUCUGCAAGUCGGAUGUGAAAGCCCUGGGCUCAACCUAGGAAGUGCACUCGAAACUUCGGAGCUGGAGUCCUGGAGAGGAAGGCGGAAUUCUCGGUGUAGAGGUGAAAUUCGUAGAUAUCGAGAGGAACACCGGUGGCGAAGGCGGCCUUCUGGACAGUGACUGACGCUGAGACGCGAAAGCGUGGGGAGCAAACAGG
rnacentral:rRNA from 1 species